UGCCCUGUCCUGCACCCUGGUAGAAUGGGACCUUUCCGCUGAGGGAAGUGGACUUGCUCCCCGGGAUGCCUCCUCUGUGUAGGGGUCUCUGCAGCACCUUCAGAGGUCUGCGUGCUCCUCUGGGUCACAGCACAUUAUCUGUCACCUGAGGUCAGCAAUGCUCUUCUGGGCCACACUGGCCAGACUGUUACCCGUCUGCUGAAGUCAGAACCGAUACCUGCUGCCAGUGGGAAGAGCAGAAUGGGGAAAGUCUGCCGCUGAGGCCCGUGUCACUGGUGGGGUUGAGGGAUGUUCACAGAGCUAGCCUCUGCCCCCGUGUCAGGUGUGGUGUCCCUGUCUACAGGACAGUACCUGGAAGCCC